GACGAACCGUGCGAACGUUGUUCGGAAUCACUGGGCUUAAAGGGCGCGUAGGCGGGUUGCCAAGUCUGUGGUGAAAUCCUCCAGCUUAACUGGAGAACUGCCGUGGAUACUGGCGACCUCGAGGGUGAUAGGGGUCUCUGGAACUGUGCGUGGAGCGGUGAAAUGCGUUGAUAUGCACAGGAACUCCGGUGGCGAAGGCGAGGGACUGGAUCACUUCUGACGCUGAGGCGCGAAAGCCAGGGGAGCGAACGGG
rnacentral:rRNA from 1 species